CGGCCCAACCAGAUCUGCCCCAAAUUGAACCCUAUUCCACAAGUCCUCCUCCCAGACCAGCGCCGCCGCCGCCGCCCUCCGCCCUCGACCUCCUCCACCAACCAGUGCGCCCCCCAUCGGCGUACACGCCUCACGACGCCGACUCGUCAUCGCCUUCCUUCGGCACCGCCACCGGGGCGGGUCAACUGUGGCGGUGCGUCGAGGUCGAAAUCAACGUCGCCUCCCUCUCCAGCCCCAGAUCCCGUGGCGAAAAUCGCCACCACCAUACCGGCGCGCUCUUCUCCAUGGCCCUCCAACGUAACGAGCACGGGUGAGCUCCCCACCACAGCUCCCUCCAUCCCAACGGCACGAGAGGUGCUCAGAUCCAUCACGCUGGACAACACGCUGCUCAGAUCCGUCAUGCUGGAGUCUCCUCCUCUUUCCCAUGUACUCCUUUGCUGCUCAGAGGAGGCAGUAGAAUAACUACAAAAGAAGAAGGAAUCUGAUGUCCCAACAAAGCACAUGUGAAGAGCGCUCCAGGGAGAAAGAAGAAGGAAACAACAAUCUUGCAAACGAGUAAAGAAACAACAGCUUCAUGACAAAAAAAUUCAUGAGUGGAAAUCCUUUUUAAUGGACUGAUGGUGGGACUUGGGAGCAAAGGCCCUGUUCGGAUCCCCUCCGCUCCCCUACUGCAGCUCCCGGAGCGGAGGGAGUGCCAGCACAAUCGCGCGGAGCAGUUCGAACCCGGCUCCUCACGCGGAGCGGAGUUGAGAAUCUGGAGAGCUUCCGAACAGGCAGUAACUUUUGCACAAAUUUAGUUACGAGUCAUUGCUUUUUGCACAAAUUUGGUCAUGGGGUAAUCAUUCCAGAAUCUCAACAUUCUAGCAUUUUGCGCAAAUUUGUGAAGUUCGACUUCUUAGUGUCAUGGCUCAUGACUAAAUAUUCCAGGAUUAUUAUAUAGCAGAACUCAGAUGUGAAAAUCAAACUACUUUUGCUUGUUCCUAUUGAGUAUGAACAUGAAACAAUGCUUGCCUGUGCUGUCAGCUACCGUUCCUAAUUCACCACACAUUGUGCUAUCUUUCAUUCAAAUAAAUGUAUAACCUUGCUUUUCAUUUGAUUCGUACAACAACUGCAUCUUGCUUCCAGAAUUUCUUCAUGGUCCUGUUUAAUCUAUCUCUCAUAAUUAUAUACACAUUAUGCCUGAACCUGUGUUGUUUGUGUGAAAGGAAACAUCUCUAGUAUUUUCAAAUGUUUAUACAUAGCUUGAACUAUAUUGGAAGGUAUCAAUGUUUGUGAAUUAAUACUCAAGCCACAAUAAUAUUGGUAUAGAUAUAUAUGUGAAGCUUGAAAAUACGCCAGUAGGAAUACAUGUCAGCUGCCAUAUGUAGUUGUAAGCUACUUGCUUUAAAAACAUCACUAUGGUUUGCUUUUUUGCUUGCAAAAUGAUUAUUAUGCAAGCAUGUAUUUGCUGUCUGAGCCUAUAUCCUUUGUUUGUGUGCUACAGUACAUAUCAUUUACCAAAGUUAUUAGCUCAUGGCAUUUGAACCAUCUUAUCUAUUCAGGUUGGCAUCAUCACUGGAAGAUGUUUCUACAUGAUGUUUCUUCUCUUCGUAUUAACAUCUUAAAAGCAUUACAAAUUCGUAACUCUUCUGCUGGAGACUUGUGGCCAUCUUCGAAUAAUGCAGUUUCAUUGGAUGGUGUGAGUUUGGUAUUCAGAUGAAUAUGUUAAUUCCAUCAAAGAAACGGCUUGAGCAGAAAUGUACAAAAGAGUAAUCACGCAACUUGUAUUCGUGGACAUGGCUACAGCUAUGCACUAAAGUUAAACCAUUUGUGUAGCUCAGUCUAAGGACACAAAAUCUUAUCGUCUUAUGUAAAUUUUGUUAACCGUUGUAGCUAGAUGCUACUAAACACGUGUAUGGAAAUAAGCUUAUUCGUACUGAACUUUUAGUUUGUGAAUGUUUCUGAAAGUUUAAGGUUUUGGGUGAGGUAUAUAUGGAACUUUGAUUGAAGUGUA